GCCCAGGUGGCGAAAUGGCAGACGCGGCGGACUUAAAAUCCGUUACUCUUUAUCGAGUGUGUGGGUUCGACUCCCUCCCUGGGCACCA
rnacentral:tRNA from 2 species